rnacentral:rRNA from 1 species
AACGAACGCUGGCGGCGUGCCUAACACAUGCAAGUCGAACGAGAAACUUCCCGCUUGCGGGAGGGAGUAAAGUGGCGCACGGGUGAGUAACGCGUGGGUAACCUGCCCUCGAAUCUGGGAUAACUCUGCGAAAGCGGUGCUAAUACCGGAUAUGGUUUCGAAGACUUCGGUUUUCGGGAUUAAAGGUGACCUCUUCAUGAAAGUUGCCGUUCAAGGAUGGGCCCGCGUACCAUUAGCUUGUUGGUAGGGUAAUGGCCUACCAAGGCUACGAUGGUUAGCUGGUCUGAGAGGAUGAUCAGCCACACUGGAACUGAAACACGGUCCAGACUCCUACGGGAGGCAGCAGUGAGGAGUUUUGCGCAAUGGGGGAAACCCUGACGCAGCAACGCCGCGUGAGCGAAGAAGGCCUUUGGGUCGUAAAGCCCUGUCAAGUGGGAAAAACGUCUACCGGUCAAUAGCCGGCAGAUCUGAUGGUACCAUUGAAGGAAGCACCGGCUAACUCCGUGCCAGCAGCCGCGGUAAUACGGAGGGUGCAAGCGUUGUUCGGAAUUAUUGGGCGUAAAGAGCGUGUAGGCGGUUUAGUAAGUCAGAUGUGAAAGCCCUGGGCUCAACCCGGGAAGUGCAUUUGAAACUGCUUUACUUGAGUAUGGGAGAGGAGAGUGGAAUUCCUGGUGUAGAGGUGAAAUUCGUAGAUAUCAGGAGGAACAUCUGUGGCGAAGGCGACUCUCUGGACCAAUACUGACGCUGAGACGCGAAAGCGUGGGUAGCAAACAGGAUUAGAUACCCUGGUAGUCCACGCCGUAAACGAUGAGAACUAGGUGUAGCGGG